rnacentral:rRNA from 1 species
AGUGAACGCUGGCGGUAGGCCUAACACAUGCAAGUCGAACGGCAGCACCGUAAGAGCUUGCUCUUACGGGUGGCGAGUGGCGGACGGGUGAGGAAUACAUCGGAAUCUACUUUUUCGUGGGGGAUAACGUAGGGACACUUACGCUAAUACCGCAUACGACCUACGGGUUAAAGCAGGGGAUCUUCGGACCUUGCGCGAUUGAAUGAGCCGAUGUCGGAUUAGCUAGUUGGCGGGGUAAAGGCCCACCAAGGCGACGAUCCGUAGCUGGUCUGAGAGGAGGAUCAGCCACACUGGAACUGAGACACGGUCCAGACUCCUACGGGAGGCAGCAGUGGGGAAUAUUGGACAAUGGGCGCAAGCCUGAUCCAGCCAUACCGCGUGGGUGAAGAAGGCCUUCGGGUUGUAAAGCCCUUUUGUUGGGAAAGAAAAGCAGCAGGUUAAUACCCCGCUGUUCUGACGGUACCCAAAGAAUAAGCACCGGCUAACUUCGUG